UACAGAGGGUGCGAGCGUUGUCCGGAAUCACUGGGCGUAAAGGGCGCGUAGGCGGCGCGGUAAGCGUGCGGUGAAAGCCCGGGGCUCAACCCCGGGUCGGCCGUGCGGACUGCCGGGCUGGAGCACUGUAGAGGCAGGUGGAAUUCCGGGUGUAGCGGUGGAAUGCGUAGAGAUCCGGAAGAACACCGGUGGCGAAGGCGGUGAGCUGGGCAGUAGCUGACACUGAGGCGCGACAGCGUGGGGAGCAAACAGG
rnacentral:rRNA from 1 species